rnacentral:rRNA from 1 species
UACGUAGGUGGCAAGCGUUGUCCGGAUUUACUGGGCGUAAAGAGCGCGCAGGCGGUCGUUCAAGUCGCGUGUGAAAGCCCCGGCUCAACUGGGGAGGGUCACGCGAUACUGAUCGACUCGAAGGCAGGAGAGGGUAGUGGAAUUCCCGGUGUAGUGGUGAAAUGCGUAGAUAUCGGGAGGAACACCAGUGGCGAAGGCGACUACCUGGCCUGUUCUUGACGCUGAGGCGCGAAAGCUAGGGAGCAACGGG